rnacentral:rRNA from 1 species
UGGGGAAUUUUCCGCAAUGGGCGAAAGCCUGACGGAGCAAUGCCGCGUGAAGGCAGAAGGCCCACGGGUCGUGAACUUCUUUUCUCGGAGAAGAAGCAAUGACGGUAUCUGAGGAAUAAGCAUCGGCUAACUCUGUG